rnacentral:lncRNA from 1 species
CACCAUUAAAGAAGCUUUCUUACUCAACUGAAAACCACAACUUUUCUCCAUGGAAGCUGCAUCAAACUCCAGCUCCAAAACACCCCAAACUUCAAUUACAAAACUCCAUUAAACUCCCACAAAAUUAGCUCCCAAAAUUCCUCUUUUACAACAAUAAAUCACUUUAAAGAAGCCAUUUUGCAUACAAAAAUAGCAAUUCCAAAUAGCUCCAGCGGUUGAG